CAUCUGAAGUAAAGUCGGCAGAUUAUAAUGUACGCGGAAAAACCCAGGGACACUUUUCUUUCUUCUCCUCCGCGAUGGUCUUCAAUGGCCAUCUUCAGAACCCUAAGGAUCCUCAUCCGAAACCCUAACCCUACAUCCCGCCUCUCCUUCCACGCCUCCGAGCUCCCCUUCUCCUCCUCCACGCCCUCUCCUCACUCUCUCGCCACCUUCUCUCCUUCUACUACCUCCCCCGCCCUCGCCGUCGUCCCCAACCCCUUUUCCUUCGUUCUGCGCCUCACCUCCUCGCACCCAACCCUCUUGUCCCCUCUUUCCCGAUGGGUUCCGUUCUCUGGCCCGCUCUUCCUCUCCUCGCCGCCGUGGAAGCUCUCGCAGUCGGCUACCCCUCUGUAUUUGCGCGGAAAAGAAGCGAUCUUUCCAAAAGAUUUGCUCAAAGUUCGGAGCUUCCCGAUCAGAUUAGGAUUCAGGUCGGUAGGGGAGGUUGGGAGAGGUGUUGGGGAUGUGAUCGGAUGGAGGCAAGCGCCGAACGUUGACGGAGAGAUUGGGAGGGUGGGGAUUGGUGAGAGCUUCCUAAAUUUGCCGAAUUUGAUCUCCCUCAGUAGGAUGGUGUCUGGCCCUUUGAUUGGGUGGAUGAUUAUGAGUGAGUGGUAUCUUCCUGCUUUUGGUGGUUUGGUCAUCUCGGGGGCAACUGAUUGGUUGGAUGGGUUCCUUGCAAGAAAGAUGGGUAUUAAUUCAGUGAUUGGAUCAUAUCUUGAUCCCCUUGCUGAUAAGGUUUUAAUUGGAUGUGUUGCAGUAGCUAUGGUGGAUAAGAACCUUCUACAUCCUGGGCUUGUUGGCCUAGUGGUGUUAAGAGACAUUGGUCUUGUCAGUGGUGCAAUUUGCAAGCGAGCUUCUAGCUUGGGGUGGGAGUGGAGGAGUUGGUCCGAUUUUAUCAACGUUGAUGCAACUCAUCGAGAGAAGAUGGAGCCCCUCUUUAUAAGCAAGGUGAAUACAGUUUUCCAAUUGCUCUUAGUAGCCACUGCUCUUCUUCAACCAGAAUUUGGUAGUGAAGAAACCCAUCUGUAUAUAACAUACUUGAGUUGUUUGGUAGCUUCAACAACGGUUGCAUCUUCAAUAGCUUAUGGAGCACAACAUCUUUGUAAGAGAUCAGCUUCUGCCACAGAGAAAUGGUGCAACAGGUCAAGCAGCAAGUCUUUAUGAUGCCACGAGAUCAUUUUCUCAUCAAUUUAAUUAGACUGUUGGAAGUGCUGGUCAUGUUUAUUGUUCCAAGCCGCAUGCAUCUAAAGGGGUUUGUGAAGCACAACUCUGUGUUGGCUUACAGGUCAGGUUAAGUUCAUGGCCACAGCACCUCCAACAAGGCCAAGGCAACACCAAGCGAGUCUUACCUCGAAAACUAGAAGAUGGAUCACAGGUUAUCUAACAGGGUGGAAGGUGAAUAUGGUGGUUCUAAAUUUCAUUUAUGAAGUUGAGAAAUGACACUAUCAUAACUGUAAUGCAUGAUAUGAUAUAUUGUGCUAGUUCAAACACAUGCAAAACAAGAAACAGUCACAGAUGAUUGUGGUACAAAGCUAAAGUUUAUAAAUAAUGGAAAUGAAGAGUGGACCAACAAAAUUGCCA